rnacentral:rRNA from 1 species
UACGGAGGGUGCUAGCGUUGUUCGGAAUCACUGGGCGUAAAGGGCGUGUAGGCGGUCUGUUAAGUCUGGUGUGAAAUCCCCCCGCUCAACGGGGGAACGGCGCCGGAUACUGGCAGACUCGAGUACCGGAGAGGAAGGUGGAAUUCCCGGUGUAGCGGUGAAAUGCGCAGAUAUCAGGAGGAACACCGAUGGCGAAGGCAGCUCGCUGGGACGGUACUGACGCUGAGGCGCGAAAGCGUGGGGAGCAAACAGG